UGGUGCUGAGGCCGAGGCCGGCUCUCGCUGAGAUCGGCUGAGGCAGCUAGCUUUGGCAUCUAGGCGGUGGCGUUCGGGCUCGCCGCAACCAAAGAUUAUCUUAAAGCAACGCUGGGCGUAAAUCUACGGCGUGGUAAUUCCAGUCGUGCACUUUCUUUCGUCGAGGUAAACACAGCAAGUAUUUAGAAAUAACUUCGGUUUCCGUCUGGUACCUCGGUUCUACGGAAAAGCAAAUGCGACAAUUGGAUUAUCACGGGACAGAUCUCUCUUGGAGACCUUUUAAAGAAAUGGCAUCCAACUUGCCUCUUAUUAAAAAGAAUGUUUACUUACCACAGAUUUCUGGUGUGUGUGAAUUCAUAAGACCAAGUUCCCAAGCCCAUUUUAUGAGUGAGAGGGGAUACUGAAGUAGGAAAAAUUACCUUCCAGUUCAGCACAGUUAACAUUUUAAAUUUUAUUCAGAUUAAGAUAAAAAUCUAUUUUCCCUGUACUGUAUGAUAGAUUCAUCUCUCCAGUUUUGUCACAUUGUGCAGCAACAGGAAUAAUGUCCUCCACAACAAUUUUAUGAGCAGCAGCUUGAAACUCUUUCUGCUCGUAAGUUCUAUUAAAAAAAAAAGUCAAAAAUUCCAUAUUAUCUUUAAUUUUGCCAGUUCUCAAAUGAUGAGAAAAGAGAAAAGCCUCAGUUCCUUCCAGGGCAAUCCAAACCACCACUUCCGGGACCUCUCCAGGAACAACAACAAAAAAAAAAAAGUUGGUUAGUUGGUUACAAAGUCAAGAAGAACACAGCCUAUAAUGCGUCUCAACAUAGUGAAAAAGUAUUUUCAGAAAAUACUGAAAACAUCUGUAAAGUUAAAAGAAGAAAUGCAGGAAGACCACUGCUAGGCAUAGAAGAAGGAGAAACUAUGACAUAACUGAACACCGAUCUGCUAAGUGAGUUUAUUAAUAGUUCAGGACUGUAUUUUCCAGUAGGCAACACAUUAUUCAACCACAGCCAUUGAAAAAUGGUAUCUUGCUUUCUUCCUCAAGUUGUGUCACUACUAUCACUGUUACACUGAAG